GACGAACGCUGGCGGCGUGCCUAAUACAUGCAAGUCGAACGCAGUGGGGACGGGUGAGUAACACGUGGGUAACCUCCCAUCAGAGGGGAUAACACUUGGAAGCAGGUGCUAAACCGCUACUGAUGGAUGGACCCGCGGUGCAUUAGUUAGUUGGUGAGGUAACGGCUCACCAAGGCCACGAUGCAUUGCGGACCGAAUAGGGUGAGCGGCCACUCUGGGACUAAGACACGGCCCAGAAUCCAACGGUGGGCAGAAGUAGGAAAUCUUCGGCAAGGGACGAAAGUCUGACCGGGCAACGCCGCGUGAGUGAAGAGGGUUUUCGGAUCGUAAAACUCUGUUGUUAGAGAAGCGGUAUCUAACCAGAAAGCCACGGCUAACUACGUGCCAGCAGCCGCGGUAAUUC
rnacentral:rRNA from 1 species